CCUACGGGUGGCAGCAGUGGGGAAUAUUGGACAAUGGGCGAAAGCCUGAUCCAGCCAUGCAGCGUGUGUGAAGAAGGCCUUCGGGUUGUAAAGCACUUUCAGUGGGGAAGAAAGCCUUGGGGCUAAUACCCUCGAGGAAGGACAUCACCCACAGAAGAAGCACCGGCUAACUCCGUGCCAGCAGCCGCGGUAAUACGGAGGGUGCGAGCGUUAAUCGGAAUUACUGGGCGUAAAGCGCGCGUAGGCGGUCUGAUAAGCCGGUUGUGAAAGCCCCGGGCUCAACCUGGGAACGGCAUCCGGAACUGUCAGGCUAGAGUGCAGGAGAGGAAGGUAGAAUUCCCGGUGUAGCGGUGAAAUGCGUAGAGAUCGGGAGGAAUACCAGUGGCGAAGGCGGCCUACUGGACUGACACUGACGCUGAGGUGCGAAAGCGUGGGUAGCAAACAGGAUUAGAUACCCUUGUAGUC
rnacentral:rRNA from 1 species